AGGCCCGUACACUCUUGUUUUCUCCCUUCUUUCAUGAAUGUCUCCUUCCGCAGCUUGCGCUCUCAGUCUCGUCGUCCCGAGGGCUGGCCCCACGGGACGAGCCGAACCCGCGUUUUCCGCAUCCGCCGGCCUAUCACACCGCCCGUUGAUGUCUCGUACAACCAUCUUAUGGCAAAAUAUGAAAGAGAGUUGGAAACCGAGAAG
ensembl:ncRNA B0403.13 ncRNA